rnacentral:rRNA from 1 species
GACGAACCGUGCGAACGUUGUUCGGAAUCACUGGGCUUAAAGGGCGCGUAGGCGGGCCGCCGCGUCCGGGGUGAAAUCCCCCCGCUCAACGGGGGACGGCCUCGGAUACGGGCGCCUGGAGGCGGGUAGGGGCGACGCGGAACUGUGGGUGGAGCGGUGGAAAUGCGUUGAGAAUCCACAGGAACUCCGGUGGCGAAGGCGGCGUGCGUGGACCCGUCC